rnacentral:lncRNA from 1 species
GAUUCGAAUCUGAGAGAAAUUUCAAUAAUCAAUAAAAAUAUCUUUAUGAAUUAUUAUCCUGCAGAGUGUUGAUUUUCAAUUGAACGUCAAAUAAAUAUUUUCAUCAUUCAAGAAAAACAAAAUGAAAAGUGAAAUUACUGAAUUAAACAAACACGUUCAAAAUAUAAUAUUAAAGUACAAGACGAGUUGAACUUCUUAAUAUAUGUUUGUUUUUUAGAAUUAAGUUUACAAAGUAUAUUAAAUUGUUU